rnacentral:rRNA from 1 species
AGUGAACGCUGGCGGUAGGCCUAACACAUGCAAGUCGAACGGCAACACAGUAAGAGCUUGCUCUUACGGGUGGCGAGUGGCGGACGGGUGAGGAAUACAUCGGAAUCUACUUUUUCGUGGGGGAUAACGUAGGGAAACUUACGCUAAUACCGCAUACGACCUACGGGUGAAAGCAGGGGAUCUUCGCACCUUGCGCGAUUGAAUGAGCCGAUGCCGGAUUAGAUAGUUGGCGGGGUAAAGGCCCACCAAGGCGACGAUCCGUAGCUGGUCUGAGAGGAUGAUCGGCCACACUGGAACUGAGACACGGUCCAGACUCCUACGGGAGGCAGCAGUGGGGAAUAUUGGGCAAUGGGCGCAAGCCUGAUCCAGCCAUACCGCGUGGGUGAAGAAGGCCUUCGGGUUGUAAAGCCCUUUUAUUGGGAAAGAAAAGCAGCAGGUUAAUACCCCGCUGUUCUGACGGUACCCAAAGAAUAAGCACCGGCUAACUUCGUG